rnacentral:rRNA from 1 species
UCGAACGGCAGCACAGGGAGCUUGCUCCCGGGUGGCGAGUGGCGCACGGGUGAGUAAUACAUCGGAACGUGUCCUGUUGUGGGGGAUAACUGCUCGAAAGGGUGGCUAAUACCGCAUGAGACCUGAGGGUGAAAGCGGGGGAUCGCAAGACCUCGCGCAAUUGGAGCGGCCGAUGCCCGAUUAGCUAGUUGGUGAGGUAAAGGCUCACCAAGGCGACGAUCGGUAGCUGGUCUGAGAGGACGACCAGCCACACUGGGACUGAGACACGGCCCAGACUCCUACGGGAGGCAGCAGUGGGGAAUUUUGGACAAUGGGGGCAACCCUGAUCCAGCCAUGCCGCGUGCAGGAUGAAGGCCUUCGGGUUGUAAACUGCUUUUGUCAGGGGCGAAAAGGAUCGUGUUAAUACCAUGGUCUGCUGACGGUACCUGAAGAAUAAGCACCGGCUAACUACGUGCCAGCAGCCGCGGUAAUACGUAGGGUGCAAGCGUUAAUCGGAAUUACUGGGCGUAAAGCGUGCGCAGGCGGUUCUGUAAGACAGAUGUGAAAUCCCCGGGCUCAACCUGGGAAUUGCAUUUGUGACUGCAGGACUAGAGUUCAUCAGAGGGGGGUGGAAUUCCAAGUGUAGCAGUGAAAUGCGUAGAUAUUUGGAAGAACACCAAUGGCGAAGGCAGCCCCCUGGGAUGCGACUGACGCUCAUGCACGAAAGCGUGAGGAGCAAACAGGAUUAGAUACCCUGGUAGUCCACGCCCUAGACGAUGUCUACUGGUUGUUGGGG